GACGAACGCUGGCGGCGUGCCUAAUACAUGCAAGUUGAGCGCUGAAGGUUGGUACUUGUACCAACUGGAUGAGCAGCGAACGGGUGAGUAACGCGUGGGGAAUCUGCCUUUGAGCGGGGGACAACAUUUGGAAACGAAUGCUAAUACCGCAUAAAAACUUUAAACACAAGUUUUAAGUUUGAAAGAUGCAAUUGCAUCACUCAAAGAUGAUCCCGCGUUGUAUUAGCUAGUUGGUGAGGUAAAGGCUCACCAAGGCGAUGAUACAUAGCCGAUCUGAGAGGGUGAUCGGCCACAUUGGGACUGAGACACGGCCCAAACUCCUACGGGAGGCAGCAGUAGGGAAUCUUCGGCAAUGGACGAAAGUCUGACCGAGCAACGCCGCGUGAGUGAAGAAGGUUUUCGGAUCGUAAAACUCUGUUGGUAGAGAAGAACGUUGGUGAGAGUGGAAAGCUCAUCAAGUGACGGUAACUACCCAGAAAGGGACGGCUAACUACGUG
rnacentral:rRNA from 1 species